rnacentral:rRNA from 1 species
AAUUAAACCGCAUGGUUUAGUUUAAAGAUGGUCUUGCUACACUAAGAGAUGGUCCCGCGGUGUAUUAGUUAGUUGGUGAGGUAAUGGCUCACCAAGACAAUGAUACAUAGCCCGAGUUUGGGGAGACUUGACCGGCCACAAUGGGACUGAGACACGGCCCAUACUCCUACGGAGGCAGCAGUAGGGAAUCUUCCACAAUGGACGAAAGUCUGAUGGAGCAACGCCGCGUGUGUGAUGAAGGGUUUCGGCUCGUAAAACACUGUUGUAAGAGAAGAAUGACAUUGAGAGUAACUGUUCAAUGUGUGACGGUAUCUUACCAGAAAGGAACGGCUAAAUACGUG